rnacentral:rRNA from 1 species
UACAGAGGGUGCAAGCGUUAAUCGGAAUUACUGGGCGUAAAGCGCGUGUAGGUGGCGAUGUAAGUCGGGUGUGAAAUCCCUCAGCUUAACUGAGGAAGUGCACUCGAUACUGUGUCGCUUGAGUGUUGGAGGGGAUGGCGGAAUUCCUGGUGUAGAGGUGAAAUUCGUAGAUAUCGGGAGGAACACCUGUGGCGAAGGCGGCCAUCUGGACAACUACUGACACUGAGACGCGAAAGCGUGGGUAGCAAACAGG